CAGUAGCCGCGGGAACACCGAGGGUGCAAGCGUUAAUCGGAAUUACUGGGCGUAAAGCGCGCGUAGGUGGUUUGUUAAGUUGGAUGUGAAAUCCCCGGGCUCAACCUGGGAACUGCAUCCAAAACUGGCAGGCUAGAGUAGGGCAGAGGGUGGUGGAAUUUCCUGUGUAGCGGUGAAAUGCGUAGAUAUAGGAAGGAACACCAGUGGCGAAGGCGACCACCUGGGCUCAUACUGACACUGAGGUGCGAAAGCGUGGGGAGCAAACAGGAUUAGAUCCCCGGUAGUCCCUGUCUCUUAUACC
rnacentral:rRNA from 1 species